rnacentral:rRNA from 1 species
CCUACGGUGGGCAGCAGUGAGGAAUAUUGGUCAAUGGGCGCGAGCCUGAACCAGCCAAGUAGCGUGAAGGAUGACUGCCCUACGGGUUGUAAACUUCUUUUAUAAAGGAAUAAAGUGAGGAACGUGUGCCUUUUUGUAUGUACUUUAUGAAUACGGAUAGGCUAAAUCCGGUCCAGCAGCCGCGGUAAUACGGAGGUUCCGAGCGUUACCCGGAUUUAUGGUGUUUAAAGGGAGCGUAGAUGGGUUGUUAAGUCAGUUGUGAAAGUUUGCGGCUCAACCGUAAAAUUGCAAUUGAUACUGGCAGUCUUGAGUACAGUUGAGGUAGGCGGAAUUCGUGGUGUAGCGGUGAAAUGCUUAGAUAUCACGAAGAACUCCGAUUGCGAAGGCAGCUUACUAAACUGCCACUGACAUUGAUGCUCGAAAGUGUGGGGAUCAAACAGGAUUAGAUACCCGGGUAGUC